rnacentral:rRNA from 1 species
AGGUGCGAUCAUACCAGCACUAAUGCACCGGAUCCCAUCAGAACUCCGCAGUUAAGCGUGCUUGGGCGAGAGUAGUACUAGGAUGGGUGACCUCCUAGGAAGUCCUCGUGUUGCACCCC